rnacentral:sRNA from 1 species
GCUGGGCACAGUGGCGCACGCCUGUAAUCCCAGCAGUUUGGGAGGCUGAGGUAGGAGGAUUGUGAGUUCAAAGCCAGCCUCAGCAAUUUAGUCAGGUGCUAAGCAACUCAGUGAGACCCUGUCUCUA